UAGACAUGUAUUUUCUGUCUUGUGUUCUACCUUAGACAAAAGCUUGGACUUCUUUUUAUGUCUUAUGAAUCUUUAGACAGACAAAAACUAAUGAUAAGCCACUUUUAGAGGGAUUUAAAAAAUUCACAUGGGCAUUAUUGUUAUAUAUAUGAGAUAUAUUUUGAACAAAAGAAAUUGUUUUUGUAUCAACAACAUGAACGUAAAUUCAGACCUUAACUUAUAUAUCUGUUUUUUUUUUCACUUAGGAAAAACUUGUUAUUUGUUGAGAGACAUGUGAAUUUGCAGCUUUAGAUGUUCUAUUCAGGCAGCAUUUAAGUUUGGAGGGUCAACAGAUCAGACUUGGAGUCCUGAUAUGUGUCAGAAAUUGGGGAAGAUUACUGCCUGAGACAGCACAGGGCAGCGACAGUGAGAGAUGAAGGCAACAUCAGUGUGCGCCAGAGUUUUGCAACUCCACACGCAGUCCAUCAUGGACCAACAACUGCAGCAUCACCUAGGAGCUGUUAGAAGUACAGACUCUCAGAUCCCACCCCAGAUUCCUGAGUUGGAAUCUGUAAUUUGAUAAGAUUCUCAGGUACAUUAAAGUUCGAAAAGUGGCAUGUUAGUGAACUGAGAUUUCUAUGUCAAGGGAUGUACUUGGUGUUGAAGAGCUGAGUUCAGAGUUCAGAGAGCAGGUGUUCAAAAGCAAGUUCAAGUCAUACAAAAGAGCCAAGAAUAACCCAAGAGCUUCCACAUAUCUCUGUAAACAGGGUUAGAGGUUGUCAGGGUCACAGGCAGGACAGAUACCUUGCACAUUUUUUUCUUAAGAAAUCUCGAUUAUCAAUCUCAAAUUUUCUUUAAAGUGUUUUUUACUAUAACACAAAUAUUGAAACACAAAUAUGUGUACAAAUUAAUGCAUUUUAAUACUGUUUUACUGAGGUAAAAUUUACAUGUAAUAAAAUGCAUAACUUUUGAAGAAUGUGUUGUGUAUAUCAGAUAAUUGCUACUCUGAUUGAAAUAUAAAACAUGUUCAUCACCCCAGAAAUCUCUCUCUUAUCCUCUCAAAUUAAUUUUUAGCCCC
rnacentral:lncRNA from 1 species